GACGAACGCUGGCGGCGUGCUUAACACAUGCAAGUCGUACGGUAAGGCCCUUUCGGGGGUACACGAGUGGCGAACGGGUGAGUAACACGUGAGUAACCUGCCCACAACUUUGGGAUAACGCUAGGAAACUGGUGCUAAUACUGGAUAUGUGCUCCUGCUGCAUGGUGGGGGUUGGAAAGCUCCGGCGGUUGUGGAUGGACUCGCGGCCUAUCAGCUUGUUGGUGGGGUAGUGGCCUACCAAGGCGGCGACGGGUAGCCGGCCUGAGAGGGUGACCGGCCACAUUGGGACUGAGAUACGGCCCAGACUCCUACGGGAGGCAGCAGGGGGGAAUAUUGCACAAUGGGCGCAAGCCUGAUGCAGCAGCGCCGCGUGCGGGAUGACGGCCUUCGGGUUGUAAACCGCUUUCAGCAGGGACGAAGCUUUUUGUGACGGUACCUGCAGAAGAAGCACCGGCUAACUACGUG
rnacentral:rRNA from 1 species